rnacentral:rRNA from 2 species
ACACGUAUGAAAGACAAGCUGAAAGACUUUUCUCAAUGAUGUAAGUGGUGGUGCAUGGUCGUUCUUAGUUCGUGGAGUGGUUUGUCUGGUCUAUUCCGAUAACGAGCGAGACCCCGGCGUUCCUAAUAGGGGCAGCAGCCCGGCUUUCGCCCGCAAGGGUGUUCGCUAGCACGCUGCCUCACAAUAUGCUUCUUAGACGUAUCAGAGCCGAUAAGGUUCUUGAAAUGGGUUAAUAACAGGUCAGUCAUGCCCUUAGAUGUUCUGGGCCGCACGCGCGUUACAAUGGCAUGCUUUAGAAAGUGCUCAAAAGGGCGUCUCCGCGGCCUACAGGCUGCGGUAACCCCUAGUCCCUGCCUUGACUGGGACAGACUAUUGCAAUUAUUGGUCUCAAACGAGGAAUUUUUAGUAGUCGCAGGUCAUUAACCUGCGACGA